rnacentral:rRNA from 1 species
GAUGAACGCUGGCGGCGUGCUUAACACAUGCAAGUCGAACGGGGCACCCUUGACAGAGGCUUCGGCCAAUUGAUAGGAAUGCCUAGUGGCGGACGGGUGAGUAACGCGUGAGUAACCUGCCUGGGAGUGGGGGAAUAACACAUCGAAAGGUGUGCUAAUACCGCAUAACACAGUAGGAUCGCAUGGUUUUACUGUCAAAGAUUUAUCGCUUUCAGAUGGACUCGCGUCUGAUUAGUUAGUUGGCGGGGUAACGGCCCACCAAGACGACGAUCAGUAGCCGGACUGAGAGGUUGACCGGCCACAUUGGGACUGAGACACGGCCCAGACUCC